CCUACGGGUGGCAGCAGUGGGGAAUAUUGCACAAUGGGGGAAACCCUGAUGCAGCGAUGCCGCGUGAGUGAGGAAGUCUUUCGGUAUGUAAAGUUCUAUCAGCAGGGAGGAAAAUGACGGUACUUGUCUAAGUAGCCAUGGCUAAUUACGUGACAGCAGCCGCGGUCAUACGUAGGGGGAAAGCGUUCUCCGGAUUUACUGGGUGUAAGGGGAGAGUAGACGGCUGAUCAAGUCAGAAGUGAAAACCCAGGGCUCAACCUUGGGACUGCUUUUGAGACUGAGCAGCUAGAGUGCAGGAGAGGUAGGCAGAAUUCCAUGUGUAGCGGUGAAAUGCGUAGAGAUGAGGAGGAACACCAGUGGCGAAGGCGGCUUACUGGACUAUGACUGACGUUGAGGUGCGAAAGCGUGGGGAGCAAACAGGAUUAGAUACCCUAGUAGUC
rnacentral:rRNA from 1 species